rnacentral:rRNA from 1 species
UACGUAGGGUGCGAGCGUUGUCCGGAAUUACUGGGCAUAAAGAGCUCGUAGGUGGUUUGUCGCGUUGUCCGUGAAAACUCACAACUCAAUUGUGGGCGUGCGGGCGAUACGGGCAGACUGGAGUACUGCAGGGGAGACUGGAAUUCCUGGUGUAGCGGUGGAAUGCGCAGAUAUCAGGAGGAACACCGGUGGCGAAGGCGGGUCUCUGGGCAGUAACUGACGCUGAGGAGCGAAAGCGUGGGGAGCGAACAGG